CGCCGCGGGAAGCACGCCCCCUUAACGCGGUGGUUCCGAGAGCUUCCUUCUGGGCGGAAGCGAAUGAGUCAACGCCGCCAAGUGGUUCAGGGAGGGACAGAGAACUCGACUUUUGGCCAGAGCUGCUGCAGAAGGUCUCUCUGCUGGAUCGGGGUGGAUCAUGUUCUGAUGAGAGACACCACCUUGAGUAGUUGGUGAAAUUCUUUGGAGAGCUCCUGAGGAAUGUCUGGAAGAUUCCCCUCACGGAUGUGAUGCCACGCAGCCCCAUUGG